rnacentral:lncRNA from 10 species
CUGUGGGUGUGCUGGGUGUGAUCUGUGCUGGGUGUGAUCUGUGCAUGUGCUGGGUGUGAUCUGUGCUGGGUGUGCUGGAUGUAAUCUGUGCUGGGUGUGCUGGGUGUGAUCCAUGCUGGGUGUGAUCUGUGGGUGUGCUGGGUGUGAUCUGUGCUGGGUAUGAUCUGUGGGUGUGCUGGGUAUGAUCUGUGGGUGUGCUGGGUGUGAUCUGUGUGUGUGCUGGGUGUGAUCUGUGGGUGUGCUAGGUGUAAUGUGUGUGUGCUGAGUGUGAUCUGUGCUGGGUGUGCUGGAUGUGAUCCAUGCUCGGUGUGAUCUGUGGGUGUGCUGGGUGUGAUCUGUGUGUGAUCUGUGCAUGUGCUGGGUGUGAUCUGUGUGUGUGCUGGGUGUGAGCUGUGUGUGCUGGGUGUGAUCUGUGUGUGGUGGGUGUGAUCUGUGCAUGUGCUGGGUGUGAUGUGUGUGUGCUGGGUGUGAGCUGUGUGUGCUGGGUGUGAUCUGUGUGUGUGCUGGGUGUGAUCUGUGUGUGCUGACUGUGAUCUGUGUGUGUGCUGGGUGUGAUCUGUGUGUGCUGACUGUGAUCUGUGCAUGUGCUGGGUGUGAUCUGUGGGUGUGCUGGGUGUGAUCUGUGUGUGAUCUCUGCAUGUGCUGGGUGUGAUCUGUGUGUGUGCUGGGUGUGAGCUGUGUGUGCUGGGUGUGAUCUGUGUGUGGUGGGUGUGAUCUGUGCGUGUGCUGGGUGUGAUGUGUGUGUGCUGGGUGUGAGCUGUGUGUGGUGGGUGUGAUCUGUGCGUGCUGGGUGUGAUGUGUGUGUGCUGGGUGUGAUCUGUGUGUGUGCUGGGUGUGAUCUGUGUGUGCUGACUGUGAUCUGUGUGUGCUGGGUGUGAUCUGUGUGUGCUGACUGUGAUCUGUGCAUGUGCUGGGUGUGAUCUGUGGGUGUGCUGGGUGUGAGCUGUGCGUGUGCUGGGUGUGCUAGGUGUAAUCUGUGUGUGCUAGGUGUGAACUGUGGGUGUGCUGCAUGUGAACUGUGGGUGUGUUGGGUGUGAUCUGUGUGUGCUGAGUGUGAACUGUGGGUGUGUUGGGUGUGAUCUGUGUGUGUGUGCUGGGUGUGAUCUUUGGGUGUGCUGGGUGUGAUCUGUGCAUGCGCUGGGUGUGAUCUGUGGGUGUGAUCUGUGUGCUGGGUGUGAUCUGUGUGUGUGCUGGGUGUAAUCUGUGUGCUGGGUGUGAUCUGUGUGUGUGCUGGGUGUAAUCUGUGUGUGUGCUGAGUGUGAUCUGUGGGUGUUCCCAGUGUGAUCUGUGUGCUGGGUGUGAUCUGUGUGUAUGCUGGGUGUGAUCUUUGGGUAUGCUGGGUGUGAUCUGUGUGUAUGCUGGGUGUGAUCUUUGGGUAUGCUGGGUGUGAUCUGUGAGCACCUCCAGUGAGUCCCAG